GACGAGCGCUGGCGGCGUGCCUAACACAUGCAAGUCGAACGAAGCACUUCUGAAUGGAGAUUCGUCAAAGUUCAGAUUUGACUUAGUGGCGGACGGGUGAGUAAUGCAUGAGCAACCUGCCCUGCAGAGGGGGACAACAGUUGGAAACGACUGCUAAUACCGCAUGAUGUGCCGAGGGGGCAUCCCUUUGGCACCAAAGAUUUAUCGCUGUGGGAUGGGCUCAUGUCUGAUUAGUUAGUUGGUGGGGUAACGGCCUACCAAGACUGCGAUCAGUAGCCGGACUGAGAGGUUGAACGGCCACAUUGGGACUGAGAUACGG
rnacentral:rRNA from 1 species